rnacentral:lncRNA from 1 species
GGUGGGGGGAGCCCAGAGAGGGGACGGGAGGCAGCGGAAGGGGAGUUGUGACCUGCCCGGGGCCAGGCUCCAGGUCCUGUCUCUGGGGACAGUGCUGGCUGUGCCAGGAGCUGAUGAGCUCAGGCCUCAGAAACUAGUGGGGAGGCAGCGGUCGCCCCUCCCCAGACCAGGGUCUUUAGAAACCAAGUCCCAUCUCCACGGAGUUCCGGGAGCCCUGUUUCCAUCCUGCAUCCACUGGGGGCCUAAGGGGAGCAGCGGGGCUGGGUCCUGCAGGGCUGCUUUAACUGUGCUGUGUGCUUUUUCCCAAGAUGAAAUCCUAGUCCAAGAGAUUCUGGAACCCAAUAAAUCGACGUCUAAAAUGCCAACGGCAGGAACAACGCUAUCAACAAGAAUAUUCAAGGAAAAAAAAGCCAGCCUCAAGGAGGAGGACGCCCCGUCGGCUGCUUCCGAGGGUCACCGUGUGCUCUCGGCGGUUCUCCCCGUCUCUCUCGGCCCUGAGGACAAGAUGGUCAACAACGGUAAAUGCAGCCAGGCCGGCGCCCGCCCGAGGUCCAAGCUGGCGGGAGGACAAGCAGGGGACGCCUCCCUCUGGGGGGGGGGGGCGCAGGUGACAGGUGACAGCACGGCCUGA